UACGGAAGGCAGCAGUGGGGAAUAUUGCACAAUGGGCGAAAGCCUGAUGCAGCUAUGCCGCGUGUAUGAAGAAGGCCUUAGGGUUGUAAAGUACUUUCAUCGGGGAGGAAAAACAAAACUAAUAAUUUUAUUUCUUGACGUUACCCGAAAAAGAAGCACCGGCUAACUCCGUGCCAGCAGCCGCGGUAAUACGGAGGGUGCUAGCGUUAAUCAGAAUUACUGGGCGUAAAGAGCACGUAGGUGGUUUUUUUAAGUCAGAUGUGAAAUCCCUGGGCUUAACCUGGAACUGCAUUUUGAAACUGAAAUACUAGAGUAUCGUAGAGGGAGGUAGAAUUCUAGGUGUAGCGGUGAAAUGCGUAGAUAUCUGGAGGAAUACCUGUGGCGAAAGCGGCCUCCUAAACGAAUACUGAUACUGAGGUGCGAAAGCGUGGGGAGCAAACAGGGAUUAGAUACC
rnacentral:rRNA from 1 species